CACUCAUUGUCAUCGUCGUGGUCGCCGCCUGUGUCGGAGCCAUCUCUGCACAGGUGGUAUGUCCCAAGGAGUGCCUAGAGCUGGCAGGAGGGCCUCCGGUUGCAGAAGACCAACUGCAGUCUGGACGCGAUGGGAGGGACCUGCCCAGUCAAAGUCUACGAGCGCCACUUCCCGCCUCAGCGACCACAGCAAAUAGCAAGCCGAUACCCCUGGAUAGCAACGUUAGCGAAGAGUAUAAUCGAUGGUUCUCGUUUUUUCAG